UUCAUAGUCAGCCCACAGCAGGAAGUCCCCAACAAGGAAGUCCCCCAGCAGGUUAUAAUAAUUAAAACACAGGAGGAAGUAUCCCAGGAGGUGAUAACUAGAGAUGCAAGCAUGGAGAGGCUUUAAUGGAGGCUGAUGCUGUAGUACACUAGAAAAAAGAAUCAUAUUUCAACUUUCUACAAUGAUACUUUAAAUAUUUCUCUGUCAAGAAAACAAUAUUUUUCUUCAAAGGAAAUUUGCAUGUUCUCUGUGUAUAAUUGAAUCUAAUUAGUAAAGGAAGAUUAUACAAAUUAUGUUGAUUAUACUUUAAUUGAAUAUCAAAAUCUAAAAUAAAUCAUUAUGUAAUCAUUCUGAAAUAUAUGUAAAAUAAAGAGUGCAUAGUGUUUGCAAA